AGAAGCACCCAGGCAGUCCACAGCCAGGCUGGAGAACACGUAGCCAGGCCCGCUCCCAUGGUCUUAGGUUGCUCCCCUGAGGCCUGGGCAACAAGGAGCAACAAGGCAACGUGGAACAGAUCUGCUGAAUGUGACCCCAAAUGCAGAAGACCGAGGUGUUGACUAGAAGAGCUCUUCGCUAACAACUACUCCAGACCAUAUCAUUAACCAUAUGAACGUAGGAAAGGUAUUAGGCAUAUCAUGUUGGAUUUGGAUGUGACUGUCGCUUUGACUCUAUGGGAUAUGGAACACCCUUCUGGUGAAAGGUCUCUCCAAACCUGGAAUGGUCUACCUUAACACCACCUGUGGUUUUGGCAGUAUAGAGGGGAAAAGAAAGAAAGAAAGAUGCAAAAUGAAGUUUGGCUUCCCUCACAUUCGCACUUUCUUUGAAAUUCAUGUGUUUGUUGAAAAUAGUGUAUCAUCGGGGAGCCUUGGCCAGGCAUGCCUGGCGGUGUCUCUGGCUCCACUGGGAACAACGGGGUGGGGUGGGAGUUCAAGGAACCGAUGUCAGGGAUGGCUGUGAUGUGGGUGUGGAAUAAACCUUUCCCAGCAUACACUAGGUAGUGUUCGUCAAGUUGGUGGCUGUGACCCAUUGGUUUGUCAUGAAAUCUAUUUUAAAGGUCACAUCCAGUCUUUUUAAGCUGGGUAAAAUGGCAUGGAAUAGAAUAGAAACUAUCAGAGCUCACAAUCCAUCCCAUAUGUAAGGAUAAUGAUUUUUUUUUUAAAACUUUGACGUAUAGUGUGCAAUUAUCUGUGUAUGUGCACUGGUUUACAAUGGAAAAUGUACCUCUUUCUAUGGUUAUGGUCAAAGCAUUUGAGGACCACUGAAUUGCAUUUAUUAGCUGCCAAAUAAAAAAUA